rnacentral:rRNA from 1 species
AGAGUUUGAUCCUGGCUCAGGAUGAACGCUGGCGGCGUGCCUAACACAUGCAAGUCGAGCGAUCUUCUUCGGAAGAGAGCGGCGGACGGGUGAGUAACGCGUGGGUAACCUGCCUCAUACACAUGGAUAACAUACCGAAAGGUAUGCUAAUACAAGAUGAUAUAAGAGAUUCGCAUGGAUCUCUUAUCAAAGCUCCGGCGGUAUGAGAUGGACCCGCGUCUGAUUAGCUAGUUGGUAAGGUAACGGCUUACCAAGGCGACGAUCAGUAGCCGACCUGAGAGGGUGAUCGGCCACAUUGGAACUGAGACACGGUCCAAACUCCUACGGGAGGCAGCAGUGGGGAAUAUUGCACAAUGGGCGAAAGCCUGAUGCAGCAACGCCGCGUGAGCGAUGAAGGCCUUCGGGUCGUAAAGCUCUGUCCUCAAGGAAGAUAAUGACGGUACUUGAGGAGGAAGCCCCGGCUAACUACGUGCCAGCAGCCGCGGUAAUACGUAGGGGGCUAGCGUUAUCCGGAUUUACUGGGCGUAAAGGGUGCGUAGGUGGUUUCUUAAGUCAGGAGUGAAAGGCUACGGCUCAACCGUAGUAAGCUCUUGAAACUGGGAAACUUGAGUGCAGGAGAGGAAAGUGGAAUUCCUAGUGUAGCGGUGAAAUGCGUAGAUAUUAGGAGGAACACCAGUAGCGAAGGUGGCUUUCUGGACUGUAACUGACACUGAGGCACGAAAGCGUGGGGAGCAAACAGGAUUAGAUACCCUGGUAGUCCACGCCGUAAACGAUGAGUACUAGGUGUCGGGGGUUACCCCCCUCGGUGCCGCAGCUAACGCAUUAAGUACUCCGCCUGGGGAGUACGCUCGCAAGAGUGAAACUCAAAUGAAUUGACGG